CAAUAGCGUAUAUUAAAGUUGUUGCGGUUAAAAAGCUCGUAGUUGGAUUUCUGCUGAGAACGACCGGUCCGCCCUUUGGGUGUGUAUCUGGCUCUUUCUUGGCAUCUUCUUGGUGAACGUUGCUGCACUUGACUGUGUGGAGCGCUACCCAGGACUUUUACUUUGAGGAAAUUAGAGUGUUUCAAGCAGGCAUACGCCUUGAAUACAUUAGCAUGGAAUAAUAAGAUAGGACCUCGGUUCUAUUUUGUUGGUUUCUAGAGCUGAGGUAAUGAUUACUAGGGAUAGUUGGGGGCAUUCGUAUUUAACUGUCAGAGGUGAAAUUCUUGGAUUUGUUAAAGACGGACUACUGCGAANGNAUUUGGNAAGGAUGUUUNCAUUG
rnacentral:rRNA from 1 species